rnacentral:rRNA from 1 species
AUACGGAGGGUCCAAGCGUUAUCCGGAUUCAUUGGGUUUAAAGGGUCCGCAGGCGGGAAAAUAAGUCAGUGGUGAAAGCCUACAGCUCAACUGUGGAACUGCCAUUGAUACUGUUUUUCUUGAGUAUAGAUGAAGUGGGCGGAAUAUAUCAUGUAGCGGUGAAAUGCAUAGAUAUGAUAUAGAACACCGAUUGCGAAGGCAGCUCACUAAACUAUUACUGACGCUCAGGGACGAAAGCGUGGGGAGCGAACAGGAUUAGAAACCCGUGUAGUCC